rnacentral:tRNA from 1 species
GAGGCCAUGGUGUAGCAGCAACACAACGCUCUGUGGCAGCGUUAUCACGGGUGCAAAUCCCGUUGGUCUCCCCA